GGCCAGGGCCAGGGACAGGGCCAAGGAGGGCCAGGGCCAGGGCCAGGGCCAGGGCCAAGGACAGGGUCAAGGUCAGGGUCAAGGACAGGGCCAGGGUCAGGGCCAGGGCCAGGGUCAAGGACAGGGCCAGGGCCAGGGCCAGGGGAGCGGCCAGGGCCAGGGACAGGGCCAAGGCCAGGGAAGCGGCUACGGUCAGGGAUGUCGUCAAAGAAAUGGUCGGCGAUGUGGUCAUUGAAAUGGUCAUGGGACUCUUGCAUAUCUCUUACUGGAGAUCUUUUCAGUUCAGUGCUUUAUUCAUAUGGCAUUUUUCCCCUGUUUGCUCAAACUGUUUAGAAAGAUUUUCUGUCUCCCCACCCCACCUCCUCAUCAAAUAAAAAGACUUGCUUUAUUGACGA